GUGCAGUGAUAUUGUCUCAGCUAGAUUCACUCAGGUGUGACUGGGAUUCAGUAAACUGUUUGAUUAAUGCACAGAACGAAUAGAAUCCAACUUAGCCACUCUUAAAUGAAUGGCUUCAGUAAAGCUAACAAGAUUAAAUAACAGCAGAUUUUUUUUUUUAAAUCUCAAAAGUCAUUAGGUACACAUAAGGAGCUGUUCUGUCAAGUAAGAUGACAUUUUAUAUAGUCACUUUUCAGAAUACAACUGCACUUUAAUGCAGUAACUAGUAUCUGAUUUCUAACUACAGCCCCUCUUCUCCUCACUUCCACUUUUCUCUGAUGUUGGCCUCUUGAAAAAGAAAAUACCAUCACACUUUCACAUCCACCAUUCCAAACUAUAUGACAUUUCUGCAAUGUAGCUUUUGUACAGUUUCUUGGGUCUACUCUGUGCUACUGCAAGAGGAUCUGCUCCUAUACCCCAUUAGAAUUUCUGGUGAGUUCUUUAAGAAAUAUGUGCUGCAAUUCAAUUUACUGUACCAGAAAGAGAAAAAAUCAUGGAUCCAUUUUCCACCGAAUCUGAAUAUCGAACUCUGUUGUGUUGACUCUGUAGAGAUGCUGAAACUUCAUGACUCUAAAUAAAUGUAAAAAAUGUAUUUUAAAACGUGCUUGCAAUCAUAUCAACUGGUCUCUUAAAACAGAGUCUGACUGUUAAAAGGUCUUUAGUACCUUAGUUUAGAAAAUAUUUUUACUCCAGUAGCAGUAAUGAUUUUAAACAUUUUAACUGAACUUCUGCAUAAUUGAUGAGAAUAUGAAAUAUUUUCAUAGCUGCAAUAAUGAUUUAGAUGUGAAAUAAUGGGGUAACAAUCCUCUAAUUUUUUACCUUUUCCAUUAUAAUCAGCCUGUCUACAUUCAUUUUGUCACAGGAAACACUGGCAUUAAUACACAAGGAAACUUCACAAACAACAUUUUAAGUCAAAUCUUUGUUUUUAAAAAAUGAUGUAUAGAAGGAAGAUUUUCAGACAGUAGAAAUGUACACACUAGAUGUUUGCCUGCAAUUAAGUAGGCUGGUUUGAAUGAAUCAAUAUGGAUGUCAGCCUUUUACUGGAAGGACAGAUAAAUCAAAAAAGACUGCUCUGGACCACAUCCUUACCAUGGGAGCUUCAUGGCAGAAUACAAGAUGCUUAGGAAAGCAAGAUAAUAACACUAUGCAACAAUGUCAUCUGAAGAAUGGGGUGGACUUGUGCAUAUUUUUCAACCUGCAGGUUGAAUUUUCUAGUGUUCUAGAAAAAACCAUCUCAAACAAUCGCGCACACUGUGGACUGUGACUUUAACACGCUCAAAUCAGACUUCAGUCUCCUUAAGAGUCUGAAUUUAAACCAAAAAUUGUGCACCCAUAUUUGAAUUUCCUAACUUAUUACUGUAAUCUAUCCAAAGUAUUAAUACUGUGUGAUGGAAGAAAUAAAGUCUUCAGGGGGGAAUCUAGAAGACUACAACAUCCUUGCUGGAAUGACUUACAUUGAUCAGCUGAAAAAAAAUAUCCAGAUAGUCAUAUCAGUGCAACAUAAAAAGAAAGACAAGGGUUAGGAAAACAUUUAUCUCGCAACAGCAGGUGGCAGGAGUACUAAGCUGGUACCAAACACGAAGGGAAAUAGCAGAAUAAGAAAAAACAUGAAGAAAAAAGUAGGUCUACAGUAGCAACAGGUUUACCAGCACUUCCUGUGGAACAGCUGAUCACGGUAGACAGGAGGCACUGAUUGACAUGGCUGCCAGAGGGUGAGAGGUGCUGGGCGGAGGGGAAGGAGCUGAUCAUGGGGACUGCUGGUGAGUAGGUGCUCCAGCCUCAGAGCAUCCCCAAAGCCAGUGCCUAUGCAGUUCACCAAUAACUGGUAUACAGUACCUGGAGAGCUGAACUCAUGAUAACAGUUGUGAUCCAUCUUGCCUUUUCCUGCCUACCACUUUCUGCCAUUGUCACAUGGGUCAUUAAUACUUCUUCAAUGAAAUCUCUGGUAAACCUUUCCAAAAAGCUUAAAGAAAACUAGAGAGAGAGAGAGAACAGAAAUGUCAGCCACCAACUGAAGAGAACACAACUGUAAUAAAGGACACACAUUAAUGGUGCUUGGUCAAGGCACCAGGGGUGCCUAAGGACCCCAACUGAAAUCAGGGCCACAGUGCCUGGGCAUUUUACAAACACGGGGUAAGAGAUAGUUCCUGCUCUGUAAAUCCACAAGGCAGACCAUGGGUGGAAAAAAGAGCUACAAGCGGAUUAUUGGGAGCUGAAGCACAGAGAGAUCAGCUGACUUGCCCAAGAUCAUGUAUAAAGUUUGUGGCAGGGCCACUUGCCCAAAGAUUUUACAAUCCAAAAUCUAUUGUGUUAGCUUUGAACUAAUAAUU